AGAAAGGAAGGAAAGAAAGAACAAAGAGAGAAAGAAACUGAGCCACAGAGAGAUGAAAGCAAUUUUUCCAGGUCAAACAUUGGUAGACCUGAGACCAAGGAUCUGAAUAUGAAGCAUGUGAAAGAAAGAAGAUGACACAGAGGUGCUGUGCUUUAUGUAAUACAUAAUGCAAUCCUGGGCAGCCUUGUGUGCUUCAGGCUGGAUGUAGGCUCUUUGGGAGCAUGUCAUCAACUUCUGACACAGCAAUGUGCUUACGGGGAGAAUUUACUCUAAAUUCUUCAUGGACUGUGCGACAGUCAACUCGCGUGGUGAUGAUGGAAAAUAUC